rnacentral:lncRNA from 12 species
AUGCUCUGGGCGGGCUGGGUUUGGUCUCAUUCCAGUUUACCGAUUAACAGGGCAGGGCAAGGCCAGGUGACUGAGAGAAGGAGACCUCAGCACCACACAGUGGUUUAUGGCUCGCAAAGCACUUGCUUGUUGGAUUUUCAUAACCAUUCUGCAUUUUCUCUGUUCCUAAGCUCAGAAGAGAAUUCACGGUCAUUUAGCCCUUGCAGGCUUGCGGAUGACAGUGGACAGAUCUCAGUCUUAGGCUAUUGUCCUAAUGUCCUAGAACAUUCCAGAAAGUCAGUGAAAUGGACGUGCAAGGAUCUCCAUGUAAAUAUCAGUUCAAUUUCUAAUGUCCUUUACUCUUAAUGUGCUAUAAAACAGCUGGCGUAUCUAUAAUACUGUAAGGAAGGGAAUUUUGUAAGAAAGUGUGGGGGGGCCCCUGGUGGCUCAGUUGGUUAAGCAUCAACUCUUGAUUUGGGCUCAGGUCAUGAUCUCAGGGUUGUGCGAUCAAGCCCCAUUUAGGGCUCUGUGCUGGGUGUGGAGCCUGCUUACCAUCUUUCUCCCUCUCCCUCUGUCCCUCUUCCACCAAAAGAGUGCGUGUGUGUGUGUGUGUGUGUGUGUGUGUGUGUGUGUGUUUGGUGUAUGUGUUCUCUAGAAAUGAAGGCUGGCUAAGACAUGGCAGAUAUUAGCAUUUGGGGAGAUUAUGAUGAUUAAUAAGCAUUUCUCAUAGGCCAACAAGCUGACCAUUUACUUUAUUAGUGGCAUCAAGCACCAGGCUCAAGUGCAUAGCUUCCAUCAUUCUCCUUCCACGGUCAGAACCAUGGCCCCAUCUGGCAAAAAGCUGGGUGUUUGAAGCAGUGAAGGCACAUGACUGACACAUCACCCACCCCAUACCACACAGCGAUGAAGUCACCGGUUGGAGCAGCUAGAAGGAUGUUUGCUCCUCUCCUGUUCUCUUUACCAACCUCAGGAACUUGGGAGAAUCUAAGCAGGAUUCACUAAGCCCAGAUAUCACAUCACAGUAAGGGAGCCAAGUCUCUGAUAGCUGCAGAUCCCUUAUAUAACUGGAGUUUUCAGGUCAUAUAUUUAUAGACUUUUAGAGCUGGAGAAGGCCUUAGAGAUUAUUCCAGUCCAACCCUUUCAUCCUGCAGUAAAAUAAAGCACAGAAAAGAGAAGUGACA